rnacentral:rRNA from 1 species
AGAGUUUGAUCAUGGCUCAGAACGAACGCUGGCGGCAUGCCUAACACAUGCAAGUCGAACGAGACCUUCGGGUCUAGUGGCGCACGGGUGCGUAACGCGUGGGAAUCUGCCCUCUGGUACGGAAUAACUCAGGGAAACUUGAGCUAAUACCGUAUAAUGACUUCGGUCCAAAGAUUUAUCGCCUGAGGAUGAGCCCGCGUAGGAUUAGCUUGUUGGUGAGGUAAAAGCUCACCAAGGCGACGAUCCUUAGCUGGUCUGAGAGGAUGAUCAGCCACACUAGGACUGAGACACGGCCCAGGCUCCUACGGGAGGCAGCAGUGGGGAAUAUUGGACAAUGGGCGAAAGCCUGAUCCAGCAAUGCCGCGUGAGUGAUGAAGGCCCUAGGGUUGUAAAGCUCUUUUACCCGGGAUGAUAAUGACAGUACCG